rnacentral:rRNA from 1 species
CAGUCGAACGAUGAAAGUCGUUUUGAUAUCUCGGAUUGAUAAACUUCUGGAUUACUUGCGGACGGGUGAGUAACGCGUGAGCAAUCUGCCUUACACAAAGGGAUAGCCUCGGGAAACCGGGAUUAAUACCAUAUGAUAUCUACAAGCCGCAUGGCCUAUAGAUUAAAGAACUUCGGUGUAAGAUGAGCUCGCGUCCCAUUAAUUAGUUGGUGAGGGUAACGGCCCACCAAGAUAGCGAUGGGUAGCCGAUCUAAGAGGAUGACCGGCCACAUUGGAACUGAGAAACGGUCCAAACUCCUACGGGAGGCAGCAGUGGGGAAUAUUGCACAAUGGGGGAAACCCUGAUGCAGCGACGCCGCGUGAGCGAUGAAGGCUUUCGAGUCGUAAAGCUCUGUCCUAUGGGAAGAUAAUGACGGUACCAUAGAAGAAAGCCCCGGCUAAUUACGUGCCAGCAGCCGCGGUAAUACGUAAGGGGCGAGCGUUGUCCGGAAUUAUUGGGCGUAAAGAGUGCGUAGGCGGCAAAUUAAGUCAGAUGUGAAAACUAAGGGCUCAACCCAUAGAUUGCAUCUGAAACUGAUAUGCUUGAGUCAAGGAGAGGAAAGUGGAAUUCCUAGUGUAGCGGUGGAAUGCGUAGAUAUUAGGAGGAAUACCGGUGGCGAAGGCGACUUUCUGGACUUGAACUGACGCUGAGGCACGAAAGCGUGGGGAGCAAACAGGAUUAGAUACCCUGGUAGUCCACGCCGUANACGAUGAGUGCUAGGUGUCUGCUCNUA